UUUCCCACUAUAAAUAUCCCUCAUAAUCUAAGCUCUCAACAAUAUAGUAAAAUAAACAUGGCAAAAACUGGUGUUAUACCAUGCCUUUUAAUCAUACUCUCUGGUUUGAUGGAAGUGUGUGUCAUCUGUUUCAUGUGGUACUUUGGGUUCCACAGACCCCAAUCUUAUUAUUUACCAAAAAUGGUAGAUAUAUUCGUUAAAGUCAGUGCAUUUAUACUCAGUAUCAGAUUUGUCCUCAGUAUAAUCGCCUAUUUUUUACUUAGUGGAGAGGAUUCAGAUUAGUUUAGUUUUGCAGGACUUUGAGUAAUGAAGAUCAACUAGAAGAU
rnacentral:lncRNA from 1 species